AAGAGGAUGACUUUACCUCUCCUAUUACUACCGGCCAAAAUAGCCCCUAGCAACCCCCUCUUUUACAAAAUUUCCAGCAAAAUGUUCUCCUGCAUUUCAUCCAUAAAAUGCUAGAGUGAAUGAGGAGUGAAAGUGAGGAGAAAGGCCACAAAAUAGAGAUGUAGAGAGAGAGAGAUUCACGGCUAAAGGCAGAAAGAGAGGGAGAAGAAUCAACCAAGGAAGAGAACAAGAAGAACAUGUAUACAGUUGUGAAAAAUCAUCCUUAAUCCUUGCUUAAUUCAUAUGAAGAAGCAUACAGAGUGGGACCUGACUUCUCACAUGCAAGUACAACAGAAGUUCAAGGUAAGGGUUGCCCCCUUGCUUCUUUAAAUUGUUUAAAUUCUUGUAAUGCUAGUUAUAUGAUAGACAUUAUAUGUAUUUUGUACUACUAUGUAUCAUGAGAAAUAUUGCUAUAUGAAUAUUGCUUAUGGGGAGUAUAAAUAUUGUUGCGUGAAAGUUACCAACAAGUAGGAAAAAAAUUAUUAUUGUGUGACCAUUGCCAAUGAGCAAGAAAUGUUAUUGCAAUGUGAAUGUUGCCUACGAGCAAAGAAACAAAUACUAAUUCUAUGUGAAUGUUGCCUACAAGCAUGAGAAAUAAUAUUAUUAUAUGAAUAUGUCCACCUGGUGAAUAUGACUAUAGAAAGGAAAGAUACGGUGAAACGAACAUGGAUUUGAAAUCUGAAUUUUGGUCGUAGACUCUGGGAUUUGGAGUUUGGAUAUGGGUCGAUAUAUAUAUAUA